rnacentral:rRNA from 1 species
CGCAUCCUGGGGCUGGAGUAGGUCCCAAGGGUUGGGCUGUUCGCCCAUUAAAGCGGCACGCGAGCUGGGUUUAGAACGUCGUGAGACAGUUCGGUCCCUAUCCGCUGCGCGCGCAGGAAGUUUGAGGAGACCUGUCCCUAGUACGAGAGGACCGGGACGGACGAACCUCUAGUAUGCCAGUUGUCCCGCCAGGGGCACCGCUGGUUAGCCACGUUCGGAACGGAUAACCGCUGAAAGCAUCUAAGCGGGAAGCCCGCUCCAAGAUAAAACCUCCAACACAGCAAUGUGUGAAGGCACCCCACAGACCAUGGGGUCAAUAGGCCGGAAGUGGAAGACGGGACCAAAGACUGUCGCAGCUGACCGGUACUAAUCAGCCAACAACCUCAACAAA